UAGGGAAUCUUCCACAAUGGGCGCAAGCCUGAUGGAGCAACACCGCGUGAGUGAAGAAGGGUUUCGGCUCGUAAAGCUCUGUUGUUGGAAGAAGAACGUGCGUGAGAGUAACUGUUCACGCAGUGACGGUAUCCAACCAGAAAGUCACGGCUAACUACGUCGCC
rnacentral:rRNA from 1 species